UGGUAUUCGUUUAAAAAUACCCUCGAAUCGUAACUUGAAAUCAUCGGUCCAAGUUAGGUUCAUGUAAACCGUUGGAUUUGGUCUCCGCGGACCAGAUCGGAUCCUCCGCCUCCCCUUGCCCAGAACACGCCGUAGAUUAUAGAGGAGGUGAUCCAAUGGCGGGCGGGCGGCGGCGGCGACCGGCGGCGAGGGUUUGGCGUCGCUGCUCCGUCCUUGCACCGCCUCUCUCGUCUCGACCUCCUCGGAACGGAGACCGGAAGCGCUACCACUUUCCACGGGCGUUGCCUCCCUCGCCCUCAGCGCUGGUAGCAGAAGCAGCAGCGGCAUGCAUCGACUUAGUCUUCUCAAGGUUUGUAUUGAUCUUUGCGUUAUCCUCACAGCAAGUCAGGAACUGCUGCUGAUAGCUUUGCCAUCUUUGCAUUCAUCAUGUGAGAGGGUGCGGCUUGGUUUUCUCCUUUAAGCUGGAGCAUGGCAGUUGCAGAAACUGGAUGGACCACUCGAGGGCGGGGUUUUUUUUGGAAGCUUCAGAGAUGGCAAGAAUCCAGCUCUCUCGUGGCUGUACGUGUGCAGAAGCACUGUAGGUCUACUUUCUCUGAGCUGCCAUGCACCCGUGGGAAUUCUGGGAAAAACUAGGCCGAAAGGAUGGGGCUCUGCACGGCUUUUGACGUAGAUAACCCUGGUCGUAAUAUCUUGGUUCCAGGAUUAUUAUGAUGCUAAUUGUUAAUUAUUGGCUGGUUCAGAGUUCAGACGGAUAUGCCACUUCUGGUAAGACGGUCCUGCCAUCUGAGCAGAUGAUCAUUGAAAAUGGAUGUCACGUGAUUGGCCCAAAGAUUCCAGCGUUGCUGUCAAAACUAAAAAAGGCACGCCCCUAGUGACCCCAAGUACCUGCGGAACAAGAGUCCUCCAAUAUAUCUGAGACUAAUAGCUUCGCUCCAAGUAGCCUCCUGACAUUUGUACCAGUUAAGACCCGAGAAUCAGGGAGUCAGGGACACAAAAUCCAGCAGGCGAAAGAGGCAAAGACCAAUCUCCUCGAGCCUCCAGUUACCCUCCUCUCUCCCAGAGUCCCAGGGCCAGGGAUAGUACCAAAGCAUAUCAAAAGAAAGGAACAGCGAAAAACAAACAAAUUGGGGGCCGUAUCAUAUCGGUGCUGAAGCAUACAGUCACACACGCCGAAAAACACAAGAAAAACGUCUUGGAAGGGAGAAAAGCCGAGUCUCUGUGAAGUGUGAACAGCAACAGCCCGCCAGCCCCUCCUCCUGCCUUUAUCUUUUCCCAAACUGCUCUUCCUUUCUUUCUGCUGCCUGAGUGGUCAAUGGGAGGGAGGGAUCAAAGGUGCACACAUUGCAGUAGUAGUACACUGCUGCACACAAUAUCCUUUUAAGAGGUGAACCUCCGGAGUCCAGAAUACUAUAAAUGAUAUCUCAAACUAGUGUAAUAUGCAUUGCUGUAACCUUUAUUAUACUUCUUUUGGGGCGAAGUACAUUUAUCAUAUUUUAAAGUUU